UGGUACUUUACAGUCCUUUCCUCUGAAAUAUUACAGGACCUUCUGGUCCAAGGAAAUGUUUUAAAUCCUGGAAAGCAGUGGAAUAGAAUGAUAAGAGGCAUUUAUGAUUAAGGCAGCUGAAGGCCCCAAAAUCUUUAAUAAUUAUCUCAAUUAUUUUAGUGUCUAAUUUUUCAUUAAAAGGUUCAUACUGGAAAGUAAAUCUCUGAAAAGAUCUUGUGCAUUCCUCAUGGUAUUCAGCACACUCAUGUCCCAGGGAGCAAAAAGGAAUUGUAUUCCACAGAUUAAUGUGCACUGAAGUCUUGGCAAGUUUGGUUGGACAGAAGGACUCCUUCCCAUGUGAGGUAAUAAACAGGAAAUAGUAAGAAUUACCAGCCAAGUCAAAUGUCAUGGAAUUUACCUGUGGCCUCAGUGAAAAUGUAAAAGUAGAUGUAUAAUGCCUGAUUUGCAAAGGAGCAAUGAAGUAAAAUUUCAUACAACACACUGAGUGGGAUGUGUUGCUGACCUCAUCAUUAUCUGUAGCAGACUUUAGACAGAGAAUGCUGUGGUUACUAAUUUCUCAGAGAAUCUAUAUGCACACAGUGGGACCUACAUCUCUGUCAGUGCCUUUGAAGGGGAGGUCUGCUGAAAAAGAAAAUAAAAUUACAACUUCUAUCAGGUUCUGCCUAGAAAAAGCACAUUAACAGAAACCACCUGCAACAUUCCCACGUUAUGAAAUUAUCUUUUAAAAUGAGAAUUUGAAUUAGUGUAAACAGUGUGAAACAUUUUCACUCUAAGRACAUGAACACAUUUAGAAAGCUACAUAUCUCCCCUUGCAGCACAGACUGACAGAUGUGAAGAGGCACAGCCUGAGCCCUGUGUCUUGAUGGCUACUCAAUUUGUUAAGUAAAUCCUGAUACGUAGGGUGUCAUAUUUUCACCUCUCAGUCCCGUGUCCUGUGCGGGCACUGGUCUCUGACAGUAGCGAACUAUUAUCCUUGGUUAAUAUAAAUCCUUGGGCAAACAGAUAAAAUUAAACACACGGGGAGCUGAGACCGCAGGGAGCUGGGACCUUGAGAAAAGAACAGAAAAGAACAGAAAAKAACAGGACAGCUYGCCCCAUACGCUGUAAGAGGAKGUUUGGCGAGGACAUUAGUCCGUGUCUCAGUCGCUGACAAAUGCCGCUUCCCGUGCGAGGAGUCGAUAGUCCGCCCGUCUCCACGGAACUUCAGCGCUGCUGUGAGGAAGCAGGAACCGGCUGGUAUUGAAUCCUUUCGCAAGCACAGGUCAAUACUCCGCACCCACACGCACACCCUUGCUGACUGCUUCAUUCCAUUUACCWGCUGCAGCGAAGUUCCCUUGCAAGCCCUAAUGUUUUUUACUGACGGGUCAGGGCUGACUCGCAAAUCUGUGCUCUUAUGGAUGGAUCCGGACACCCGCCAGCGGACAUCGGAUGUUGCAAGUGUUUCAGGUUCUCCUCAAAUUGUGGCUGCUGUUGUGUGUGCUUUUGAGAAAUGGGAUAUCCCUUUAACAUAAUUAAAGAUUCUUUUUAUGUUGCAGGAAUUGUUGAGAGAGCUGAGCGCGCAGUUCUGUGGGUUAUCACUAGUCCAUUGCUCUUUUCCUAUCUACAAAAGCUUGUUUUUCUUUUAGAUAAUCGCGAGAAUCCUUACUUUGUUAUGCAUGUUCGCUUGCACACUACUACAAUUUCCGGGCUUUAUUACAGAAGGCAACCGACAGGCAGACCUUCUAACAGCACCCGUARAGGUUUUACCCAAUAAUCUGCUCAAAUACAACGGAGUCACUCCUUUUUUCAUCAAAAUGUCUCCACUUUACAGCGGUCUUUUUCCCUCACAUGUCAGCAAGCCAAGGACGUUGUUGUCUCACGUUCUGACUGUCAGACACGGCUUUGUAUCGGACCCCCAGCACCAACCCUCGCGGUCUGCAGAGCCUUCAACUGUGGCAGAUGGAUGUUACUCAUUUUCCUGAAUUUGGCCCCUUAAAAUACAUUCACUCUUCUAUUGAAGAGUGGCUUUCCUUCUGGAGCUUUGUUUGCGUCAUGCCAUAUGGGGGAAGUGGCUAAAGAUGCCUGUCAUCACUUUUUGGCUGCUUUUGCCGCCUUAGGCGUGCUCAGCACGUCAAAACUGAUAAUGGUCUGAUAAUGGUCCUGCUUGCGUUUCUCGCUCUCUGUCUACAUUUUCUGUUUCAUGGGAAAUGCAGCACACUACAGGGAUCCCUCACUUUCCUAGAGAACGAGCCUUCACCGAACGAGCUCACAGCACGCUGAAGCAUUUAUUGGGGCAACAGAAAGGGGGAAUGCAAGGCACAGCCCCGCGAGAGUGCUUGCACAAAGCUUUACACGUGUUUAAUUUUUUGAAUUGUUAUUCAGACAGCAAGCUUCCCCCUGUACUGCGUCAUUUUGCCCAUGACAGCAGAAGAGACAGCGAUAAAGGCUCUGGUUUUGGUCAAAGACUUGGAACCAGGUAAGAUAUAGGGUCCUUUCCCCUUGUUACRUGGGGAAGAGGCUAUGCUUGUGUCUCCACAGAGACGGGACCUAAGAAUGUUCGCCCGUUUCGGGAGAAAGAGCCGGAACAAUCUGAGGGUGGCGCUGAUGAUUCCCGGUGUCCUGGUUUGGUUUUCCUCACCGUGCGGGAGUGUGGCCAGCGUCCGGGACCAACGAUCGGGAUGGAGGAGGACUACAGUGCGCCGCCCAUCCCUAGGAUUACCAUAUGCAUGCUCUAGACCGCCAACAUCCCGAUCCAUCGAGUGGGGAGCUCGCUCCCCGGCCGGAGCAAACGGGAUUAUUCCGACAUUAACGGGAUGUGUAUCGUGCUUUAUCUGCAGAACUGCUGACCACCCUUGGUGGGUUCUUUGCCCAUGUGCUCAUUGUACCUACAGGUGGUAUUUAUCUUUACACAGAGGAGCCCUGUSUACCAGGUGUAACUCCUCUGUAACGCAGUAUUUAACCGGGAAGAUCCAGACUSUCAAAUUCACGUUUUUGAUUGUGGGUGGAAAUAUUCUGUGCCUGAUCAUUGGGAGGUCAAAGAAUCCAAAUGGCAAAAAAUCAAGGGACACUGCACAUGCCGAUAUGGUGCUCACUGCUUUUACUGAGUGUGCAAGCUUUCACUUUUGCAUGGCCCUGGCCUGUUGUUCAGCCAAAGACUAAUGCAUGGGUCACUUUGGCCAAUUUGACAGGACAGGAUAGUCUCUGCCUAGCCACAACUACUCCUGAAAAUCCAUUCUCUACUUGCCUUGUGGGUAUCCCCACAGAUAUAUGACCACAACCCCAAGCAGUACAAUUUUUGUUGCAGUCAAAAAACCAUGCUGAUGCCUGGGACCAGUGAACCCCUUAUUGUCCUCAGGCAUCCUUUGAGCCACAAGAARUAGAACUUUUGGGAGUCCAUAAAGAUGGACCUCUGUGUCAAAUUUAAUUAUUCUGGAAUAAACCAAUCUAAGGCAUGGGAAAUCUCUCCUUAUCAGCCUAUAUUUGCAAAUGAGAGUGCAAACUGGUGCAACUACAGAUCGGAAACUAUUUCCCGUGCAACUAAUGUUCCUUUGUCAUUACAUCCAGGAGUAUUUUUAAUUUGUGGGGACAGAGCCUGGCCUGCCAUUCCAUCACAUCUGCAGGGAGACCCUGCAGUWAAGGGCAACUCGCCCUGCUUUCUCCCAAAACAUCCAUCAUUUAAAAGCAUAAACCAUUGAGAUGGGGGAAGCAUGGCAUUCACACUUAUACAUCUGAUUGUGGUGACUCCCUUGAUUUCUGGCCAGUAGGCACAUGCUGGGUUGUGUAAUUUUUUGCCCCAAAUGUGGCAGCUGUGAAAGCAUUGGUAUUGUUAGACAAACUAGGCUGUUGGCUAGCACAUCAAACUAAUGCUACUUUGCUUGCUUUAGCGGUCUUAUUAAUCAAUGUUGAUUCAGUAAGGCACGCUAUGCUGAAAAAUUKGGCUUCUAUUGAUUUUUUGCUUUCGGCACAGGGGCAUGGAUGUGAAGACUUUGACAGGAUGUGCUGCAUGAAUCUUUCAGACCAUUUGGGGUCCAUUCAUGGAAGCAUUAACACCUUGCAGGAUGGGGUUGCUAAAUUACAGGAGAUGGAUGAAGCAGAGUGGCUUACCAGCUUGUUUGGCAGCUGGCAAAUUGCCACGUGGAUUAAGAAUUUGCUUAAGCUAGGAAUAUAUGCUUUAGGAAUAGUGCUCUAUAUAAUUGUUUAUGUUCCUUGCCUUCUCCAAUGCGUGCAGCAUCUGGUCGACAAAUCUAUAAAGCAAAUUUUAAUUGUGGAACAGAAAGGGGGAGAUGUGAGGGUCUCUGAUAGUAGCAAASUAUUAUCCUUGGUUAAUAUAAAGCCUAGGGCAAGUAAGUGUAAUUAAACACACAGGGAGCUGAGACCUCAAGAAAAGAACAGAAAAGAACAGGACAGCUUCCCCCUUACGCUGUAAGAGGAGGUUUGGCGAGGACAUUGUAUGCGAAAUAGAAACUGACUGUUGAUUGUUUGUAUUAUUAUAAAAGGCAGUGUUAUUUAGAAUAAAAAGGGCUUUGCAUG